rnacentral:rRNA from 1 species
GAGCGGUAGCACGGGGGAGCUUGCUCCCUGGGUGACGAGCGGCGGACGGGUGAGUAAUGUCUGGGAAACUGCCUGAUGGUGGGGGAUAACUACUGGAAACGGUAGCUAAUACCGCAUAACGUCGCAAGACCAAAGAGGGGGACCUUCGGGCCUCUUGCCAUCAGAUGUGCCCAGAUGGGAUUAGCUAGUAGGUGGGGUAAUGGCUCACCUAGGCGACGAUCCCUAGCUGGUCUGAGAGGAUGACCAGCCACACUGGAACUGAGACACGGUCCAGACUCCUACGGGAGGCAGCAGUGGAGAAUAUUGCACAAUGGGCGCAAGCCUGAUGCAGCCAUGCCGCGUGUGUGAAGAAGGCCUUCGGGUUGUAAAGCACUUUCAGCGAGGAGGAAGGUGAUGAACUUAAUACGUUCAUCAAUUGACGUUACUCGCAGAAGAAGCACCGGCUAACUCCGUGCCAGCAGCCGCGGUAAUACGGAGGGUGCAAGCGUUAAUCGGAAUUACUGGGCGUAAAGCGCACGCAGGCGGUUUGUUAAGUCAGAUGUGAAAUCCCCGGGCUCAACCUGGGAACUGCAUUUGAAACUGGCAAGCUAGAGUCUCGUAGAGGGGGGUAGAAUUCCAGGUGUAGCGGUGAAAUGCGUAGAGAUCUGGAGGAAUACCGGUGGCGAAGGCGGCCCCCUGGACGAAGACUGACGCUCAGGUGCGAAAGCGUGGGGAGCAAACAGGAUUAGAUACCCUGGUAGUCCACGCUGUAAACGAUGUCGAUUUGGAGGUUGUGCCCUUGAGGCGUGGCUUCCGGAGCUAACGCGUUAAAUCGACCGCCUGGGGAGUACGGCCGCAAGGUUAAAACUCAAAUGAAUUGACGGGGGCCCGCACAAGCGGUGGAGCAUGUGGUUUAAUUCGAUGCAACGCGAAGAACCUUACCUACUCUUGACAUCCAGAGAACUUAGCAAAGAUGGAUUGGUGCCUUCGGGAACUUUGAGACAGGGGCUGCAUGGCUGUC